GUGUGGUGCACGCUCUUAGCUCACUGGGUGAGUAAUGUCUAAUUGGUAGCAGGUUGCCAGGCUCUCCCCAAGCCCAGUAUACAUGCUGAGACAGUGACCAGUGCUACAGUGCAAGGGGUGCUGAGACUCAGGCUAGACUCCUUACCAGAACUCCAGACUCAGUUUCCCUCUGGUAUUUCUUCAUAGCCUUUCUUCCAUGAUGAGAUGUUUGAGGCACUUAAAGCUUUCUUAAUUAUUCCCCCAAGAAUAGCUUGGAGCAUGCAUCUCACAAGCUCUUCUUUGAGAAAUCAAGAUAACAACAACAACAACAACAACAACAACAACAACAACAAAAGCAACAUAGUCUCUGUGGAAAAAGGACUGAAUCUCAAAUAUUGGAUAACUGGUCAGAACAUACAUGUACUUAAAUUUCCAAAGAUAUUGAAAGUUUUUAAAAAAUAUAAAGAGUGAUCCCCUUCUCAAUAGCUAUAUAGUACAUAUGCUUGAAGGCGCUAUGUUCACUACUAGAAGAGAAAAAUAAUCAUCAAUAUUACCCUCUGUGAACCCUAAGAGCUGUAAUAAUGACCAACCUGGGCAGGUUCCAUGUAUUCCAGCCACACACCAC